GACAAUGUUUAUGGACAUCAAAUCCUGCAUGAAGGAGAGGACAUUUUUAAUUCUCUAAGGAGUGUGACCCCAGAAUCUAACCAUGUCAGAGAAGAAGGAUAUCCUAGGCAACACCUCACAGUUAACCCGGAAUUCUUAAGUGUAUAAGUUCCCAAGUUUGAGACCCUGAGAUUCUGACCUACUAAAGAUAGAAGGGCAUUUCCUGAUCCAGAAAGCUCAUUGGAGAAAGAUGAAGAUGGUCUGCAUAAAUAGUUACUGUGCAGUGUCCUAUAUGGAGAGAAAAUAUACCUCUUACCCUUUAGGUAGAUCAACUGGCUCCACCUGGCUACUUCUCAUCUAUAUACAAGUAGGUCCCAUGGCCCAAUCCCACAGCUCCCAGAGCAGGACCUGCCUCUUCAAUCUCACCAAGCCUCAUAACAUCAACAAGUCUAUUUGGUCUGCAGCAGAAGAAUCACAGCUCUAGCGACUUCCUUACCUGUGUUGGGCUUCCUUCCCCAGUGCCCAGUCCCCAGUCCCUUGGGGAAGAUGAUUUCUGAGGCUCCUGGCACUUCAGCAUUCAAUGCAGACAAUCUCCCUCAGAUGACCUGAGUGUGACCGUCUCUAAGCCUAACUCUAAAUGCUUCCCACCCAAUUCUCAGAGUAGGAUGGCAUCCCCAUGGGCUUCCUCCAAACCAUAGUGUAUUAGAGAUCUCCAUAGCUAUUUCUUUUGAGAAGAAAGGAAAACCUGAGGCUCAAAAUCACUGAGUCAUGGACCACCUAGUUCAAACAGGGUUAAAACACCAUCUAGUCUGAGCCCCUCAUUUUAAUUUUGUUUAAGCAAUGCAUGUUUUUUUUAAAACCACCACCAUUAUAUCCCCUGAAAGAGACAUAGAUAAGCAAAACUGACAUUGAGAAUAACCAUAUCUGACAGGAUAGGCAACAUUCUGCACUCCUAGUCAUUUACACACAUACCCAUAUGCCCACACAUAUGUGCACACACAUGCACAUGUUUGCACACAUACAUACACAUGUACUCACAUGCACACACACACCCCUCUACCAAGAGGAGGGAUAUGUUUAUUACCCUCUCUUCUUUAGGCCAAGGAUCUGGCAUUGACAUUCGUUGAGUUUCCAUGGUCUUUGAGGGCUGACAUUCGUGGAGCCCUAACCCUAACCUUAACCCUAACCCUCCCAAGGCUUCCAGCCAUAUCAAUAGGAUCUAUACACAAUAAAAGUCAGUCCUUCCUCUAGAGGGGCCAGGGGAAGGCUCAGGGAUUGGAUCAUGUGGAUGAGAGGAAAGAUGUGGAAGAGCAGUCAAGGGAGUCGGCAGCCCCAGCAGCGUGGUGACCUUGGGUAGGUACUUCUUCUUAGAGCUCCUAGGAGAGUGUGUGGCUGCAGAGGGUGGAUAUUCACUUGAGCAUCGGGAGUAUCUGGGUCCUGCUUGGUGAUAGCUUGGUCCUGGAUCUGCCUGAUGUAUAUCAGGAAGGGAGCUGACAGAAAAUGUCAAGAUGGCCUGAAGCAAACCUGAAUAAACCAGUCUUACCAGCAGAUGGGCAUCCAGCCAUGGGUGGGACAAAGAAGCAGCAUUCCUUGGUAACUUCCGGCUGGGAGCAGCUGGGUCCUCAGGCCCAAGAUGCUUUCCACACGUGGCCUAUCCUCUGCUGUUCACUCCUCCUCUGCUCUGCAGAAAGCCUCUGUUGGUUGCACUUCUUCCUUUUCAUUUAGGCACCAAUAUGGAGGCUGGUCAAAGCACGAGUCCCUGGUCAUAGCCCCAUGGGGGCCUGGAGCAAUGGAGGAACCAGGAGGACCCAGUGCUCACCACAGCCUCAGACUUCCUUUAUGAAUGCAGUCCAAGAGAAAGCUGGGAACUUGGUCACCUGGGUCCUGAGGAGUCCUUCCUUUCCCAAGAAACCUUCCCAGAAGCUGUCAGCCAGAGCAACUUCUGGAUAAAGAAAGGAUGUCUCACACUGGAAGUUCUGUGAGCAGGCCAAGGGAACAGGCAUCUCAGGGGCCAAACCUGGAGAAUACCUUUCCCCACCCGCCACUGCCAGUGCCCUAACCCUCAUCCAUCACUGUCUGCAAGGGGUUUCUUUAGUGUGGGAAAUGACUUCUUGCCAUUUAUUGAAUAAUUUAUUAAUUCUUAUAGAGGGAAACCGAAUUGUGAGGUGUGGCAAUGUGACAAUUUGUGGGGGAGGGAGUUGGGGGCUCCCCAUUAUCUCUUUACUUUGCCCUUGACAAUUUGGGGGUGGGGCUAAGAGUGUGCAGUACCUGUGUAGCUAAGGCUGAAGGUGAUCAAGGCUGCUAUCUCUGUGAGUCGAGCAGUCAAAAUUGGCUAAGACUGGCUUUGAGGAAGCAAUCCAGACCAACCUGAAUUCAUCCAUUCAGGAGUUCGAGGAGCCCCGGGGCCACUGAGAAUCUGAUGCUGCAAGGGGUCCCCAAGCCCAGCCCCCUCCCAGCACCUUCCAAGAGGGCCAAGAAGGAAAACUCCAGCUCUGGUGUCAGGCCAGGCCAACGAUUUCCUUUCUCUUCCUUUGUUUCCCUUUUGGGGAAUGUUUCAUCUCAAUCCUUCUGAAUUAAGUUCAGACCUCUGUUAGCAGGAGUGUUGAACUUGCUUAGAAAUGCAUCUUGUGAAGAUGCAUGUCAUCUCUCAGACAUUCCUGUCACAGAUACCCUGGAGAGGGUGACGAUCUGGCUGGUAGAUGUCUUUGGUGAUAUCAGGGAGAUCACUCCAAUCUCAGCACCUGCUCUCUUUCCACAGCUCCUCUCUGUGGGCUCAAAGACUGCAGGACUGAGCCCACAUAGGGACCAACUCAGGUCCACAAACAUUUAUUAUAUUAAGCAUUUACUAUGUAUGAAUGUAGAUUUUCUUAUGCUCAAUAAUGUCCCAUUGUAAUCACAUCCCAAAGUGUGUACAGCCAUUCCCCAGGAGCUAGUCAAUGCUGUAGUUUACAUUUUUGGGUUCCUAUAACAAGACCUGCUAUAAAUACUUUGGUACAGACAUUCCUUUUCCUCUUCCCUUGAUCUCUGUGGAGAGAUCUCUUUGGAGCCUUAGCAGUGGUAUAGCUGGGCCAAAGUGGUAUAGCCACUUUGGGGCCUCCAACAUUUCAUAGCUCCACUCACAGUGUACAAAGUACCUC